GUGAGCGUAGCUCAGUUGGUAGAGCCCCGGAUUGUGGUUCCGGUCGUCGUGGGUUCGAUUCCCAUCGCUCACC
rnacentral:tRNA from 1 species